AUUGAACGCUGGCGGCAGGCCUAACACAUGCAAGUCGAGCGGAUGAAGGGAGCUUGCUCCCGGAUUUAGCGGCGGACGGGUGAGUAAUGCCUAGGAAUCUGCCUGGUAGUGGGGGACAACGACUCGAAAGGGUCGCUAAUACCGCAUACGUCCUACGGGAGAAAGUGGGGGAUCUUCGGACCUCACGCUACCAGAUGAGCCUAGGUCGGAUUAGCUAGUAGGUGGGGUAAUGGCUCACCUAGGCAACGAUCCGUAACUGGUCUGAGAGGAUGAUCAGUCACACUGAAACUGAGACACGGUCCAGACUCCUACGGGAGGCAGCAGUGGGGAAUAUUGGACAAUGGGCGAAAGCCUGAUCCGGCCAUGCCGCGUGUGUGAAGAAGGUCUUCGGAUUGUAAAGCACUUUAAGUUGGGAGGAAGGGCAGUAAGUUAAUACCUUGCUGUUUUGACGUUACCGACAGAAUAAGCACCGGCUAACUUCGUG
rnacentral:rRNA from 1 species